rnacentral:tRNA from 1 species
ACCUGGCUAGCUUAGUCAGCAGAGCAUGUGACUCUUGAUCUCAGGGUCAUGAGUUCAAGCCUCACACUGGGUG